rnacentral:rRNA from 1 species
UACGUAGGUGGCGAGCGUUGUCCGGAUUUAUUGGGCGUAAAGGGCGCGCAGGUGGUGUGGUGGGUCCGUCGUGAAAUCUCCCGGCUCAACUGGGAGGGUGCGCCGAAUACUGAAUGACUUGGAGUGCGGGAGAGGAAAGUGGAAUUCCUGGUGUAGCGGUGAAAUGCGUAGAUAUCAGGAGGAACACCGGUGGUGUAGACGGCUUUCUGGACCGUAACUGACGCUGAGACACGAAAGCGUGGGUAGCAAACAGG